GCCGAGCCCUCUGCCCUCCGCCUCAGCCCGCACCUCGGUCCUACCCAGCCACGCGCCUUGCUCCUCACCGCUCCCCUGCCUUCUUCGGACCGCCGGAGGCCAUAGCAAUGGGAGAUGCACUCCGGACAUGUGGGAGAAUUGUUCUCCUACUCCAGUUGUCGUCGCCCAACCAAUAUUUACUGAUGCCCGCGACGUCCUGGGGCACAAGGGGGACAAAACUGGAACCAACUCGGACCCUGCCUGCCCUCAAGUUGCUCGAAGAUUAAUAAAGAUCGGACCUCUGCGCAAAAGUUACACUCCCUGGAGCUUCAAGUGGAACAACACAGGAGUAUUUUCAUCUUUUUCCUGACAGCCCUUCCAUUAGAUUGCAGGCUUCAUUACCCACUAAGCCUUCUCUGUUCCACAUUAAACAUACUGAGUUCCUUCAACCAUUCCUUCUACUGUGGUGUCCAGUAGAUCUUUCUGUGAUGCUAUAGUAGCAAAUGUGGGUUGAGCACGUGAAAUGUUGCUACUGUGACUGAGGAACUGAAUUUUUAAUUUUAUUUUAAUUGCAUUGUAUUUUCAAAAGCCCUUUUCCUACUGGUCACUCUCCUUUAUAUACAUUAUUUGUCAAAUGUCUGGUACCCACAAUGCAAUACUGACCAAUAAUAGCCUUCAGGAUGACUGGUUAGCACCUGGACAAUAUUUCUAUUAAUGCUUUCUAAAAUGGAAUUAAAAAAUAUAUAUCUAUAGAGUAUUAAGUGGUUCACACUGAUAAUCGCUGGAACUAGUAUUUUGUCAGCAAUCCCAGUGCCUAAACUUGUAUAACUGCAUUUUUUAACAUAAAUGUAAGACUUGCUAUUUCAGCUUUUCAGUGUAAGCACAGAAGUUUGGGUACUCCAAGCUGCCAACUUUCAAGCUUGUUUCAAUAUAGUCUACCCAGCAGGCCUUCCGACUGUGUGGCACUUACAGAUUUGGCCUUACUACUAUUUGACCCAUAUGUAGUCUUUACAAUUUGCAAGGUAUUUUUAUGUCCAUUAAUUUGAUCCUUACAACCACCUGUGAGGUAGGCAAGAUAUGAAAUCUACAUUUGAAGCAUAGCAGGAACUGAAUGAAUGGGAUCCUUUUCUACUCCAUUGAGUAUCUCGUAUACUGUUGUCAUCCAAAUCAUUGAUGGAAAUGUUGAAGAGGACCUCCAGAGGCCAGGCUGACCCUGAAUUCUUAAAUAGCACUGACUGGUACAGCAGUGUAAGCAGGUCAGCUCCACUGAAAAGUGUGAUUAUCCAGCCAGCAGGUUGCCAUUCUAUCCAAAAGGAUGGCACAAGAGACAGACACCUGACUUACGUAAAUAUUAAUACUGGUCUUGUGGGAAAAAAGCACAUGAGGGCUGGCUGCCAGAAAAAAUUUCUACUUGUCUGUAUCCACAAAGGGACUAUCAUACCAAAUGCUUAAAGAAGCCAAGUCUGCCUCUCUUCCACCCCCAUGGGGUCACGUUUUAUUCUUCUUAUAGUUCUUAGCACAUCUUAUCCCACCUUGUAAUUGCUUAUAGACAUGUCUUAGAACUACAGCUCAUUAUCUUUCUAACACCCAGCACUCGGCCCACUGCAGUCCAUGUGUGAGCCACUCAAAUUGCUAAAUGAUAAACCAUUCAAGUGAAUGUUCUUUCAACAGUAUCAGCCCCCUCCCCCCCAAACAAACUUGGGACCAGAAGAGGCACAGACCCCUGCCACAUUCCUGCCAGCAUGACUGAUUAAAAUGCCCGUAUAGUUGGCUUGGUCACAGUUUCCAGCAGGUGCUGAGGCUUUUGCUAGUUAAAGCAGCUUUCACUGGAUUGUUUUGUUUUCUCUGUGUGUUUUGACCAAAAAAUAAAGACAAGUUCUCUAACAGUAGCAAUAGAAUACAGGAAAUAGGACUACUCCUUAAUAAUGUGAGUCAAUCAAUAAGGAAAAUAAGUGGUCAAUAAAA
rnacentral:lncRNA from 1 species